GUUAUUGCUAGUGCUGGUCUCUCAGAGCAUUAGUCAGAACUCCUGCACACCUCUGGCAGCCAGAUUCCCACAGGAGUUCAGCCUUUCAAGGCUGGGUUCUUAAAACUGCCAAGUAAACCAUUCUCAUAACCAGUGUGAGGCUCCAUGUUGCUGGUGUGCGGAGGGAGCUGGCUAUGAAGUACGGACUAGGGAUGGCUACAGCUCUACCCUCUGGAAAAAUGGAAAAUGGGAACUGAGGAAGUAACUGCCAUCACCUGCUCCUUUGGUGGUAUGCUUUCUCGGGAAAAACAUUUCUGUUUAGAGAAAGGUGAACAAUAUAGAAUUUGGCUAUUUUAUAUGUAUGUAUACUUGACCAACAACAAAUUUUGGUGCUCUUAAAUGUUUAUACCGAAUGCUCCCACACCCCAAAUCAAUUUAAGAUACUGUUUAGGAAAGUAUCUGAAAACAUUUGACUUGUUUUGGAAAGUGUACAUAUUUUUCUGACGUGCACAUUUUCAGUAUCCCACUCUUGACAUAGCAGAAGUGUUCGCUUGAGCCCCAGCAUUGCAGGUGCUAUGGACUGGCUACUCGGGCGGCGUGAGGAGUGGCUGCACACCACAGACCUCUGCUCAGGAGCGGGUAAGCCAGGCUCUUGGUGAAGAAAGUGCCACCAUAAGAAAUGGUAAAUUUGGGCCGAUGCCUCCUUCUUCACAAGAGGUCCAUGGGAAUGUUGUUGUGGAAGUAAAGGCAAACUUUAGAGAUGACAAUCUAAAUCCUGGAAGCUCCAAGACUCAUCCCAGGACCAUUCUGGACUCACAGAAUUCCCUAAGGAAAGCCGAGCCAUUAGCGACCAUGUAGCAUCAGUACCACUUCAAGGACGAAGAUCACGGGCAUCCUGAAGUGUUGUGAGAUGGCUAAGAUGAGAUGGGUGAGAACUCCAAGCACUGCAUUCACACCGUGUGACAAUGUCCCUCAGCUGAGGUUGGCAGGUUAAAUGGAGGCCAAUCAAUCCAAGUUAAAUCAAUUACAUUCCCUUGAGAAGCUUCAAACUAGGGAACCCGGCACCACAGCUUCUGAGAGCCAUUACUGCUAAUCACAUCAACAGCGUUGCCUUAUUAGAGAAGACACCCUCCACCCUUGUUGCUUUGUUUCUGAGGCAGGGUCUCUAAUUGUCCUGGAACUCACCAAAUCCAGUAGGGGCUGAAUGAGCCCCAGAGUUCACCUGGGUCUGCUAGGGUGACAAGCAUCUAGUAUCCCCGAAUGGUUUUAUUUGGGGUUUUCUUUAGAGUUUUAGGACCGAUGUAUGCAUACUUGGGUAACAGCUUAGUUCUUUUUUCUAUUUUUAUACUUCGCAUACAUGUAGUUCUAUUUCUAUGUGACAACAUUCCUUUGUAUAUUCUUUCAGUAUCAUGUCCAUUGGUAGUUCAUUUGUACAUGUUGCUAAUUCUUCCACUGCGAUACAGUAUUUCAACAUAUGACCACACUGUUAACACAUGCACUUGAAUAUAUACUUCACUAGAACACACACACACACACACACACACACACACAGAGGGAGAGAGGGAGAGAGAGAGAGAGAGACAGACAGACAGACACAGACACACGCACACACAGAGAGACAGACAGACAGACACAUGCACACACACAGAGUGAGAGACAGACAGACAGACACACACACGCACACACAGAGAGACAGACAGACAGACACAGACACAUGCACACACAGAGAGACAGACAGACACAGACACAUGCACACACACAGAGUGAGAGACAGACAGAGAGACACAGACACACGCACACGCACACACACAUGCACACACACACAGAGACAGACAGACAGACAGAUGCGCACACGCGCGCACACACACACACACACACACACACACACACACACACACACACACACACACCACACUGAGCACCUAGGGGUUGGGGCCAGGGCGGUGACGAAGAGGGAGGUAGUUUAAAAAAUCCUAAGUGAAAUUCUAAAGGAAAUUAAUUCCAAUGUGUCUCUUGCCAAUCAAUUUUAAUAUUAACUAGUUCUCACGCAGCUUUGAAGAAAGGUCAUUUAAUUUCUAGAUUUAUCUUUCUGCAGAGUUAAAUCCCUGCACAUUGACCAACUAUAAGCUAUGACACUAGCUACAUCUUAGCUUACUCUUUUAAUUCUGCGAUUCUCCGUAGAUUAAUUGAGGUUGCUUCCCCCUAAAUCAGUCCCCAGCACACAUUUUUACAUAAGAGCAUUUUUCUUUUUGAUAGAGCCAAUAUUGCAUAUACUGAAAGAAGAAAAGGUUCUUUCAAAAUUUAAAGCAAUUCUGCAUCAAAAGAGUUUCAACUUAACACAAAUCAAGGCUGUAAAAUAAAAAAAAAUAUUGUUAAUUUUGUAGCCAAAUUAAGGAAUGCAAUCACAAGUAAUAAAAGAUCAAUCUUAAAAGGAUUUUAAGUCCAACUUCCAAGUCUUGAGUGUUUUGAUUAUCACCAGCGUAUGAGUGUAGAAAACCAUUUCUACACUCAAUAGUGUGUUGGUGUCAAUAGUGUGGCACCGACAGAAUGUGCUUACCGUUGUCAUUCCUCCUGGAUGACAAACAGCAACUACAUCCUUCCUGUACCCAAAACUUCCCACAUGCUAGUCACACGCCUAUGUUAGUCUGUCAAGGCAAUUUGACGAAGGAGAUACUGCUAUUCCUCCCGUCAUAUAAGAAGAAACUGAGGCACAGUAAGGGAAAGUAAGUUCCCACAUCUGUGAGUUGAGGCUGCCUCAGGCAGGUGCGAU